CACGUAGGCGGGUCGUUAAGUCAGGGGUGAAAUCCCGGAGCUCAACUCCGGAACUGCCUUUGAUACUGGCGACCUUGAGGCUGGAAGAGGUUAGUGGAAUUCCCAGUGUAGAGGUGAAAUUCGUAGAUAUUGGGAAGAACACCAGUGGCGAAGGCGGCUAACUGGUCCAGAUCUGACGCUGAGGUGCGAAAGCGUGGGGAAGCAAACA
rnacentral:rRNA from 1 species